AGCAGCCGCGGUAAUUCCAGCUCCAAUAGCGUAUAUUAAAGUUGUUGCAGUUAAAAAGCUCGUAGUUGAAUUUCGGGAUUAGUACGUUGGUCGUGCCUUCGGUACGUACUGGUGUUACUGAUUCCUACCUUCUGACGAACCAUCAUGUCAUUAAUUUGGUGUGGCGGGGAAUCAGGACUGUUACUUUGAAAAAAUUAGAGUGUUUAAAGCAGGCUCGCGCUUGAAUACAUUAGCAUGGAAUAAUGAAAUAGGACGUUGACCCUAUUUUGUUGGUUUCUAGGAUUGACGUAAUGAUUAAUAGGGAUAGUUGGGGGCAUUAGUAUUCAAUUGUCAGAGGUGAAAUUCUUGGAUUUAUUGAAGACUAACUACUGCGAAAGCAUUUGCCAAGGAUGUUUUCAUUAAUCAAGAACGAAAGUUAGGGGAUCGAAGACGAUCAGAUACCGUCGUAGU
rnacentral:rRNA from 1 species